rnacentral:misc_RNA from 1 species
AACGUAGGGGGCGAGCGUUAUCCGGAAUUACUGGGCGUAAAGGGCGUCUAGGCGGCCUCUCAAGUCCUGUGUGAAAUCUCCUGGCUCAACUAGGAGGGUGCAUGGGAAACUGGGAGGCUUGAGACUCGAAGGGGGAUGCGGAAUUCCCGGUGGAGCGGUGAAAUGCGUAGAGAUCUGGAGGAAUACCGGUGGCGAAGGCGGCCCCCUGGACAAAGACUGACGCUCAGGUGCGAAAGCGUGGGGAGCAAACAGG